GAAUAUUGGUCAAUGGACGCAAGUCUGAACCAGCCAUGCCGCGUGGAGGAUGAAGGUCCUCUGGAUUGUAAACUUCUUUUCUCUGGGACGAAACCCCCGAUAUCUAUCGGGCCUGACGGUACCAGAGGAAUAAGCACCGGCUAACUCCGUGCCAGCAGCCGCGGUAAUACGGAGGGUGCAAGCGUUAUCCGGAUUUACUGGGUUUAAAGGGAGCGUAGGCGGGCAGUUAAGUCAGUGGUGAAAUCUCUGGGCUUAACCCGGAAACUGCCAUUGAUACUAUCUGUCUUGAAUAUUCUGGAGGUGAGCGGAAUAUGUCAUGUAGCGGUGAAAUGCUUAGAUAUGACAUAGAACACCCAUUGCGAAGGCAGCUUACUACGGGAUUAUUGACGCUGAGGCUCGAAAGCGUGGGGAUCAAACAGGAUUAGAUACCCGAGUAGUC
rnacentral:rRNA from 1 species